rnacentral:rRNA from 1 species
AUACGGAGGGGGCUAGCGUUGUUCGGAUUUACUGGGCGUAAAGCGCACGUAGGCGGUUUAUCAAGUUAGGCGUGAAAGCCCCGGGCUCAACCCGGGAACUGCGCUUAUUACUGAUAGACUAGAGAGCGGGAGAGGGUAGCGGAAUUCCCAGUGUAGAGGUGAAAUUCGUAGAUAUUGGGAAGAACACCAGUGGCGAAGGCGGCCACCUGGCCCGGUACUGACGCUGAGGUGCGAAAGCGUGGGGAGCAAACAGGAUUAGAAACCCCGGUAGUCC